ACGAACGCUGGCGGCGUGCUUAACACAUGCCAGUCGAACGGAAAGGCCCUGCUUUUGUGGGGUGCUCGAGUGGCGAACGGGUGAGUAACACGUGAUUAACCUGCCCUUGGCUUUGGGAUAACUUCAGGAAACUGGGGCUAAUACCGGAUAGGAGCUCCUGCGGCUUGGGGGGGGUGGGAAAGUUUUGGCGGUUGGGGAUGGACUCGCGGCUUAUCAGCUUGUUGGUGGGGUAGUGGCUUACCAAGGCUUUGACGGGUAGCCGGCCUGAGAGGGUGACCGGCCACAUUGGGACUGAGAUACGGCCCAGACUCCUACGGGAGGCAGCAGUGGGGAAUAUUGCACAAUGGGCGGAAGCCUGAUGCAGCAACGCCGCGUGCGGGAUGACGGCCUUCGGGUUGUAAACCGCUUUCGCCUGUGACGAAGCGUGAGUGACGGUAAUGGGUAAAGAAGCACCGGCUAACUACGUG
rnacentral:rRNA from 1 species